GACGAACGCUGGCGGCGUGCUUAACACAUGCAAGUCGAACGGAAAGGCCCUGCUUUUGUGGGGUGCUCGAGUGGCGAACGGGUGAGUAACACGUGAGUAACCUGCCCUUGACUUUGGGAUAACUUCAGGAAACUGGGGCUAAUACCUGAUAGGAGCUCCUGCUGCAUGGUGGGGGUUGGAUAGUUUCGGCGGUUGGGGAUGGACUCGCGGCUUAUCAGCUUGUUGGUGGGGUAGUGGCUUACCAAGGCUUUGACGGGUAGCCGGCCUGAGAGGGUGACCGGCCACAUUGGGACUGAGAUACGGCCCAGACUCCUACGGGAGGCAGCAGUGGGGAAUAUUGCACAAUGGGCGGAAGCCUGAUGCAGCAACGCCGCGUGCGGGAUGACGGCCUUCGGGUUGUAAACCGCUUUCGCCUGUGACGAAGCGUGAGUGACGGUAAUGGGUAAAGAAGCACCGGCUAACUACGUG
rnacentral:rRNA from 1 species